GGUGUUCUUCCAGUCUGAGAUGGCAAACCAGGGGAAACAUCCAUUUGCUGAAGGAACCUGUGCAUAGCUAAUUUUUUCAGUCUAAUCUGUCAUGGUGACCCUUGGAAGUUUUUUUUAUUGUUAGACUACACAUAAACACGUACACACACUAUCAAGGUCAUUGUUUGUAGUUAGUUUUUACUAAAGAAAAAAAAAGAGCUCUCUUUUUUAGCAUAGGAACAAACACCUGGGUUUUUAAAGCUUUCUUUUCCCCUUCAAAAAGAGGUAACCACCUGCCCCAACACAUACUAUGGCUAUCCUCUUUGAGCCAAGUCUCCCCUUUUAUUUCAUUAUGUUUGUGUGGCUAUCCAGCUCCAGAAGCAGGACUGAGGCUCAAGCUACCAUUGUGGCAACAAGCAAGUAACUCUGAGGGUGCUACAAGUUUUGUCAAACAGCUCACUAACCAGAUUCUGAGGAAACAAUGCAUUGUUGUUCAGGUAUUAAACCUUGGUGUUGAAUUAAGAUUUGGGGUUUUUUAGUUUGUUUCUGCACAGCAGCACCACUGUUGGUGCUUAGAUGUUCUGACACAUUAGGCACAUAUGAGUUUUGAUGCACCUUGCUCUGCAUAAGCUUUCUUGUACCUAAAAAUGGUUGAAAUGUUGCACUGUGCUACCAAAACAUAUUUUAUGUAGUUAUCUAGCCCUUUUUGUUGAAAGACUGGUUCACGUUGGAAAUGUAACUGGAAAGUGUGCUUUCUCUGGGGACCUUUCGUAUCGCAUUACCUGAGGACUAAGAGAAAGGGCAAAAGAUAGUGACAAAAACCUGGAGAAAUUCUUACCUUAGCAGUUUUGUCCAGUUCCUAGCCCAUGCAGCAUGGAAAGCAUAGUAUCUGAAUUAGAGACCACAGCUGACGAUGGAUUAUAUUGUUGUACCAGACAUUUUGCUCCCUGACCCAGUUAGCUGAGCUGAACUCAAAAGUAUGAUGAUGGGGACAUUCAGGCUUAUCGCUUGCUGGGGGUCUUCAUGGCCAGCUGCCAUGGAUUUAGCUAUAUUUUUAUGGUUCUGCUCCUACCUACAGGGUUGUUUCCAAAAAGUAGUCAUGGGAGACACUGUUCAGUGCCAUGGGAGCUUUCCUGUAGUGUCCUGCAGGGUUCUGUCUUAUUUAAGAUCUCAGUGAAGCUGCUGGGAGUUGUCAUCAAUAUGUAGAUGACACCUCUCUCUCUCUCUCUCUCUCUCUCUCUCUCUCUCUCUCUCUCACACACACACACACACACACACACACACACCUGAAUCAAAGGAGGCAGCUGAGGUGCUAGACAAGUGUUUGUGGGGUGUGGUAGGCUGAGUGGGGGCCAAAAUUGAAAGUGAAUCCUGAAAAGAUAGAGAGGUGUUAUGAGUUCCAAGUUCUUGAAUCUAGGAGGUAGGAAAACUUCCACUUGUAGAUGGGAUUAUACUACUAGGAGCAGGUUCAUGGCUUGCAGGUCCUGCUGGAUUCAACAUUGUUACUGAAGGCCCGGGUGGCCUUUGCGGCUAGGGGUUUCAGCUAUGUUUGCUUCACCAUCUAGGGCCCCUUUUGGAUAGAGACUAUUUGACUACAGUAUUCUGUGCUCUGGUUGCUUCUGGAUCAUUGCAGUGAGUUCUACAUAGGGCUGCCCGUGAAGAUGACUUGGAAACUUCAGCUGGUCUAAAAUGCAGGAGCCAUUUUAUUCGCUGUAGUUGCCUUUGGAACUCAUAUAACCCCUGCUGUAAAACAGCUGCACUGGUUUCCAGUUUGUUUCUGGAUUCAGUUCAGGAUGCCCACACCAGUGUUUAGAGCCCAAAACACCUUAACCCCCAAAUAUCUGAGAGACAACCUCCUUCCCUACAUACCCUGUUGGGGGUUAAGAUCUUCAGAGAGUGCCCUACUGGUAGUUCCAUCAUCCAUGAAAGUUUGCGGGGAGUGACAUGAAAGAGAGCAUUCUCUGUGGUGGCCCCUAAGCUGUGAAAUUCCCUUCUCACAGAGAUGUUUCGUUUGGUGAAAGGUGAAGAUGCACCUCGUUGCCCUCACCUUUGACAGCUGAGACGUGUGUUUUCAGAACCCACCUGAUUCCUGUGGCUGCAUUUGGUUCUAACUGUUUUUAAUAUCAAAUUUUUAAUUUUUGUGAUUUGCUGGUGAAUAAGUCCUCCUCCUGAUCCCACAGAAGGCGCAAAGGAGAGCGUGGAAACCCAAUGCUUCUUCACUAAGGCUUGCCAUAUCUAAUUCAUGUAGUGCUAAAUUAUGGUUUAAUGUUUUGUGUGAAGACAACCAAUAGUUGCAAUCCUGUGCCGCAUUGAUGCAGAUUUGAUUAGUAACAUUAUUGCAAAUUUACCAGCAGCCUUCUGGCUCAUUACACUUUGCCGUUGUAGCCUUCUCUGCUGAACAAACAACUCUCUCUAGGUGAGCAAGGAGAUAAUUUAUACUUGUUAUGUAUCUCUGCCAUAGACUGAUGAUGGCAGUGGGGAUUUAGACCCUGGAGUUCUGCUAAGUGCUCAGACCAUCACUUCAGAGACCACCAGCAGCACUACCACUACCCAGAUUACAAAGACUGUGAAAGGUGGAAUUUCAGAAACACGAAUUGAAAAAGAAUUGUCAUCACAGGAGAUGCAGACAUUGAUCAUGAUCAAGUUCUGGUACAGGCCAUCAGAGAAGCAAAGGAGCAACACCCAGACAUGUCUGUGACCAAGGUGGUUGUCCACCAGGAGACUGAGAUUGCAGAAUAAAUAGCAAG